AAUGGACGCUGGCGGCGUGCGUAACACAUGCAAGUCGAACGAGAAAUUCCGGGCUUGCUCGGGAGAGUAAAGUGGCGAACGGGUGAGUAACGCGUGGGUAACCUGCCCCUGAAUUCGGAAUAACUUCGCGAAAGCGAGGCUAAUACCGGAUAUUGUCCCAGGGACCUCGGUCUCUGUGAUGAAAGAUGACCUCUUCACGAAAGUUGUCGUUCAGGGAGGGGCCCGCGUACCAUUAGCUAGUUGGUAGGGUAAUGGCCUACCAAGGCGAUGAUGGUUAGCUGGUCUGAGAGGAUGACCAGCCACACUGGCACUGAAACACGGGCCAGACUCCUACGGGAGGCAGCAGUGAGGAAUUUUGCGCAAUAGGGGAAACCCUGACGCAGCAACGCCGCGUGAGUGAAGAAGGCCCUCGGGUCGUAAAGCUCUGUCAAGUGGGAAAAAAGCUUGCUGGUAAAUAGCCAGCAAGACUGAUGGUACCAUUGAAGGAAGCACCGGCUAACUCCGUGCCAGCAGCCGCGGUAAUACGGAGGGUGCAAGCGUUGUUCGGAAUUACUGGGCGUAAAGGGCGUGUAGGCGGUGUGGUAAGUCAGAUGUGAAAGCCCUGGGCUUAACCCAGGAAGUGCAUUUGAAACUGCCAUGCUUGAGUAUGGGAGAGGAGAGUGGAAUUCCCAGUGUAGAGGUGAAAUUCGUAGAUAUUGGGAGGAACACCCGUGGCGA
rnacentral:rRNA from 1 species